rnacentral:rRNA from 1 species
UACGUAGGGUGCAAGCGUUGUCCGGAAUUAUUGGGCGUAAAGAGCUCGUAGGUGGCGUGUCGCGUCUGCUGUGAAAACUCGGGGCUUAACCCCGGGCCUGCAGUGGGUACGGGCAGACUAGAGUGCGGUAGGGGAGACUGGAAUUCCUGGUGUAGCGGUGAAAUGCGCAGAUAUCAGGAGGAACACCGGUGGCGAAGGCGGGUCUCUGGGCCGUAACUGACGCUGAGGAGCGAAAGCAUGGGGAGCGAACAGG